CUAAAGGGGGGAUACAAAGAGUUCU
rnacentral:piRNA from 1 species